AUGGUCAUGACGCUGCCACCACGGGCGGUGUUGUGGGCCUCCGCUGCUGACGAUGAUGACAAUGAUGACGAUGAAGAUGACGAAGAGGAGUUGGCUCCCCAGACACCGACGGCUGCCACCAAGGCCCUCGACUCUGGAGGGAUGUGCGUGGGGCAUGACGCAGACACAAAUGAGGGUUGGCAGGAGGUGCUACCGCGGCGCGGCCCGCGUCGUCCGACUUCGUCACCUUCCUCUACAAUGGCUCCUCGUCCCAUCCCCACUUGGUUUCGCGGUAGAUGUUACAGAUGCUUCGCUCAUGGUCAUCGCGCGGCUGUUUGCAAAGAGCCAUUGCGGUGGUCCCGUUGUUUUGAGAACGGUCAUCGUGCGCGUGGAUGUUGCAACCCAUGGCAUCCUCUAAGCUCACUACCAUGCAUUGAUGUGUCGCUCGUGUCGCAGCUCGACGUCGUGCAUCGUCCUUCUCUUGCUUCAUGUGAGGGUCCGAUGAGAUCCACACUCCUAUCCAAGGCGCUUCAUCGUGGGUCUUGGGCGUCUGUCGUCUCUGCUACCUUUGGCUCUCCAACCUCGUCAGAGCUGAUGUUGCAGUCCGUUUUGGCUGAUCAGACAGCGUUGAUGCAAGGCUGUCUGGCGCAUGUCGGGAGCUUUUUAGAGCGAGCGGAGGCUGCUCUGAGUCGACUCUCCCUUGCGCCGGCUAUGUUGCAGACCUCUCUGACACCGCACUCUCCUUGUGCGGCCGGUGUUUGCUCCGUGCAGGAUAGCGGGGUGGAGUUAUAUGGCUCCUUCUCCCCUCGUGUUGGAGACAAUUCAUCCUCAGUGCCUACCUCCCAUCCUAUGUUGUCUUCCACUGAGGGGGAGUCCAUUGCCGUGCUUGUGGCUCCGGUACUGCAGGUCAUGCCCGAGCUUAGGGAGCUAUGUCUGAGUUUGUCAGUAGAUCAUAUGAAGGUGGACACAUCGACGACCUCGAGCGAUGUACAAGAUUCACCUUUGUCAAGUGAGCAGCUGGAGGUUCCUAUGGUUGAUGAUGCAAGAGGGAAGGCGUCUGCGAUGUCAUGA
rnacentral:rRNA from 1 species